GAUGAACGCUGGCGGCGUGCCUAAUACAUGCAAGUCGAGCGAACAGACGCGGAGCUUGCUCCUCUGACGUUAGCGGCGGACGGGUGAGUAACACGUGGAUAACCUACCUAUAAGACUGGGAUAACUUCGGGAAACCGGAGCUAAUACCGGAUAACAUGUUGAACCGCAUGGUUCAACAGUGAAAGACGGUCUUGCUGUCACUUAUAGAUGGAUCCGCGCCGCAUUAGCUAGUUGGUAAGGUAACGGCUUACCAAGUCAACGAUGCGUAGCCGACCUGAGAGGGUGAGCGGCCACACUGGAACUGAGACACGGUCCAGACUGCUACGGGAGGCAGCAGUAGGGAAUCUUCCGCAAUGGGCGAAAGCCUGACGGAGCAACGCCGCGUGAGUGAAGGAGGUCUUCGGAUCGUAAAACUCUGUUAUUAGGGAAGAACAAAUGUGUAAGUAACUAUGCACGUCUUGACGGUACCUAAUCAGAAAGCCACGGCUAACUACGUG
rnacentral:rRNA from 1 species